CUCAAAUCGGCGGACCAUACUCGGGGGGGAUUUACUUUUCACAAGAAGCCGAACGGCUCGUCCCACGAUGUCACGGAGCUGGUGGAGGACGAGCGGCGCAUGCCCCUCUCGUCCAGUAGCAGCGGCAGGAACUUCUUCUUCACCAGGGUGUCCUUCACCGCCCGCUGGAGAGCCAAGAUGAACGUCCUCCUGUCAAGCUCCUCCUGCACCUGUGGAGACUCUCCCCGUUCAGACCUCUGACCUCAUCAGGGCUCUCGUUGCCCAGGGCGAUGGCCGUGAGCUGGCAGCAGAGCAGGUGCAGGAUCUUGGGCGUGUGUGUGAGGAGUCG